rnacentral:rRNA from 1 species
UCCGCGGCGUACGGACNGCGCGCUUCUAUGNUCGUCGGCCUCGGUCGGCGUGCACGACGCGCGUCCGUCGACGUCCGCGGACGGCGUGCACUUCUCUCUUAGUAAAUNACAUCGCGACCCGUUCGAUGUCGGUCUAAGCGCCGUUCGGGAGCCCCANUGGAUCCUNNUCACGGGGUCNUGNUGGGACCGCGANNNCGGUGGCCGACCGGCCGUCGGACGGUAGUUCUGACGAAACGCGCACGCGUUUAUANACGCGUCCGGCCCGACGCAAGUNCAACGUCGUAUNCUAGCGUACNCGCCCAAGCGCGGACGCNAAGUGCGGCGCGUCUGUNUGUUGCANGCCGUGNCAGUCUCGGACUGUGCGCGUCUCUGUCUGCGAUGAUUCAGUUUCGGGCACUCGCAGGACCCGUCUUGAAACACGGACCAAGGAGUCUAGCAUGUAUGCGAGUCAUUGAGAUAANNUAAAACUGAAAGGCGUAACGAAAGUGAAGGCGCGCGCUUGCCGCGCGCUCAGGGAGGAUGGAGCGUCGAUCUCGGUCGAUCUCUCGCACUCCCGAGGCGUCUCGUUUCC